GCGUAGGAGGUCUUCUUGCAGCGUAGGGGGAGAUCUGCGGCCUUCUUCUCGCUUCUGCGGCGUAGGGGGAGAGAUGCAGAGGCAGGUUCAACUUGAAGUCAGUCAGAUGAAAGGGCAGUGAGAUGUCUUCCACAGGAUGGUUUGGAUGAGCACUUUGCCAUAAUUAAUGGGUUGAAAAGUGUGUUUUUCUAUCCACCGAAAUUUAGUGGUUCGAUUCCAUUAUGGCCAUCCUGAUGUUUUUGAUAGAUUAUUCCACUUAAC